GAUCAUGGCUCAGAUUGAACGCUGGCGGCAGGCUUAACACAUGCAAGUCGAGCGGGCGAGGUUGCUUCGGUAACUGAGCUAGCGGCGGACGGGUGAGUAAUGCUUAGGAAUCUGCCUAUUAGUGGGGGACAACAUUCCGAAAGGAAUGCUAAUACCGCAUACGCCCUACGGGGGAAAGCAGGGGAUCUUCGGACCUUGCGCUAAUAGAUGAGCCUAAGUCAGAUUAGCUAGUUGGUGGGGUAAAGGCCUACCAAGGCGACGAUCUGUAGCGGGUCUGAGAGGAUGAUCCGCCACACUGGGACUGAGACACGGCCCAGACUCCUACGGGAGGCAGCAGUGGGGAAUAUUGGACAAUGGGCGCAAGCCUGAUCCAGCCAUGCCGCGUGUGUGAAGAAGGCCUUUUGGUUGUAAAGCACUUUAAGCGAGGAGGAGGCUACUUGGAUUAAUACUCUAGGAUAGUGGACGUUACUCGCAGAAUAAGCACCGGCUAACUCCGUGCCAGCCGCGGC
rnacentral:rRNA from 1 species